UACGUAGGGGGCUAGCGUUGUCCGGAUUUAUUGGGCGUAAAGAGCUCGUAGGCGGCUCAGUAAGUCAGGUGUGAAAACUCCAGGCUCAACCUGGAGACGCCACCUGAUACUGCUGUGGCUAGAGUCCGGUAGGGGAGCAUGGAAUUCCCGGUGUAGCGGUGAAAUGCGCAGAUAUCAGGAGGAACACCAGUGGCGAAGGCGGUGCUCUGGGCCGGAACUGACGCUGAGGAGCGAAAGCGUGGGGAGCAAACAGG
rnacentral:rRNA from 1 species